rnacentral:rRNA from 1 species
UGCCAGCAGCCGCGGUAAUACGGAGGGAGCUAGCGUUGUUCGGAAUUACUGGGCGUAAAGCGCGCGUAGGCGGCGACUCAAGUCAGAGGUGAAAGCCCGGGGCUCAACCCCGGAACUGCCUUUGAAACUAGGUUGCUAGAAUCUUGGAGAGGUCAGUGGAAUUCCGAGUGUAGAGGUGAAAUUCGUAGAUAUUCGGAAGAACACCAGUGGCGAAGGCGACUGACUGGACAAGUAUUGACGCUGAGGUGCGAAAGCGUGGGGAGCAAACAGGAUUAGAUA